GAGCGACGGAGCAUCUGUGUGGAGGUGCAGAAUCAGGAAUGGUCUGAUGAACAAGAUUCGCCACCGUUCUCGUUUGCAAGGGGGCAGCACCUGAUGGAGGAAACAGGGGUCCUUUUCAGUUCUUAUAGUCUUCACUGACAGGCCACAGAAGGAUAGGGUCCCUUUUGCCUUUUCCUUGGUGAUGCUUAAGUCUGGCUCACAUGCUUUUGUGUGUUCUUUUAGAAACUAUCAACCUACUGCACACAAAAUAUGUGUACUUGGAUGGUGUUUGAUAUGGUGUGGAUGCUCAGGUUAAAAAAAAAAUAGUCAUAACCAGUUCUGGAAAGGAAGGAAUGAAGAGAAAGGUUGUAACUUGCUGGGUGGGUCUAGAACACUCCACACCCAUCCCCCAGAAUGAAAUCAGCUUUCCAAGUCAUCUGUUUGGGCGGGAGUUUCCAGCCAGUUAGAACUCUCUGUCCUCCCUUCCAGUCUUUUAGGGAACACUGUAUUUUGAAAGCCAGAUGAGAAGGCAGAUGUUUUUCUCAUCUCCACCCACACCCACAUUGUUGUUUGCCGAAUAAACCGGGUUGGGACACAAAUCCUGCAGAAGGGCUGCCGCUGGGGGCGCUGGAGGCUUCCAGCCCGGGUCAGCGCGGCCAGGACCCUGGGUGACGCACCUGUUAUCAAUUAACUGUCCAGGCUGAACUUGGGAAUGAAGGCCAGAACGGGCAUGGGAGGCCGAUCCUCCAGCUAAACUUUGACUUCAAGGUCAAGGAAGGAUUUGAAAGGGUGGGAAGAAAAAUAUUGUACAUUGGUUGGGUGAACAAUAUUUAUUAAACUUAGAGCCAUUUGUACUCACCAGUUCUGCAUUUUGUAGUAUUUUUGAAGCAAACACAACUCAUUUUCUGGCAGGGAACUGAUGCUUAGAAUUGGAAAAACAAAGUAUUAAGUAGAACUGGCAUCAGACCCCAUGGACGAGGGACGGAUUUCAAAACUUCUCAGCCAGCCAUCCCUCCGUGCACGUUAUGAAUCUGGAGACCCAGGGAUCCCAUGUGAGAGUGCUGGGGAAGUGGAACGUUGCAGGCCUCCCGAAACACAGCUGCCCAGUGCCUGCCCACAUCCUCCUUUGCAGCUUGGGGUGACCUGUAGCUGAGAAGCUACGCUGGCGCUCAAUUUCCCCUUUUCAGCUGCGUACAAAGAUAGGCCCUUGAAGGGUGGCCUUGUCACAGCACGGUGCUCCAGCCCAUGUGUUGGCCUCUGCUCCCCAGGGAGUGUUGGAGGGGAGAGUGCUGGCCCAGCGUCCAGCUCUUCCGAGACUCUCCUAAAUUGACUUCUGACUUUUAGAAAAGGUGGAGUCCCCUUUCCUGCUCCUACCCUGGAAGGUGCUGAAGCAGAGCUGAGACUUAGGCUGCAGAAAUGAGCGAGAGGCCCCUAAGGGUCAGUUCUGGCAUUUGUUGGGGAAUGGUCACGGGUCUCUAGCAGCAGGAAUGGCAGUGAUUCCUCAGCUCCUCUUGAGCGCUUACCAGGUGCGUGGCUCUCUUCCAGGCCCUUCACAUGAAUUGGCGCCUCUCAUCCUCACGCAGCACCGUGAGAGUGCUUAUUUUGUUAUCCUUGUUUAUAAAGGUGAAUGAGGCUGGGCACAGUGGCUCAUGCCUGUAAUCCCAGCACUGUAGGAGGCCAAGGUGGGUGGAUCACUUAAGGUCAGGAGUCUGAGACCAGCCUGGCCAACAUGGUGAAACUGUCUCUACCAAAAAAAAAAAAAAA
rnacentral:lncRNA from 1 species